UUGAUUCGGCAGCACAUAUACUAAAAUUGGAACGAUACAGAGAAGAUUAGCAUGGAUGCUGCACAAGGA
rnacentral:snRNA from 1 species